GACGAACGCUGGCGGCGUGCCUAAUACAUGCAAGUAGAACGCUGAAGAGAGGAGCUUGCUCUUCUUGGAUGAGUUGCGAACGGGUGAGUAACGCGUAGGUAACCUGCCUUGUAGCGGGGGAUAACUAUUGGAAACGAUAGCUAAUACCGCAUAACAAUGGAUGACCCAUGUCAUUUAUUUGAAAGGGGCAAAUGCUCCACUACAAGAUGGACCUGCGUUGUAUUAGCUAGUAGGUGAGGUAACGGCUCACCUAGGCGACGAUACAUAGCCGACCUGAGAGGGUGAUCGGCCACACUGGGACUGAGACACGGCCCAGACUCCUACGGGAGGCAGCAGUAGGGGAUCUUCGGCAAUGGGGGCAACCCUGACCGAGCAACGCCGCGUGAGUGAAGAAGGUUUUCGGAUCGUAAAGCUCUGUUGUAAGUCAAGAACGAGUGUGAGAGUGGAAAGUUCACACUGUGACGGUAGCUUACCAGAAAGGGACGGCUAACUACGUGCCAGCAGCCGCGGUAAUACGUAGGUCCCGAGCGUUGUCCGGAUUUAUUGGGCGUAAAGCGAGCGCAGGCGGUUUGAUAAGUCUGAAGUUAAAGGCUGUGGCUCAACCAUAGUUCGCUUUGGAAACUGUCAAACUUGAGUGCAGAAGGGGAGAAUGGAAUUCCAUGUGUAGCGGUGAAAUGCGCAGAUAUAUGGAGGAACACCGGUGGCGAAAGCGGCUCUCUGGUCUGUAACUGACGCUGAGGCUCGAAAGCGUGGGGAGCGAACAGGAUUAGAUACCCUGGUAGUCCACGCCGUAAACGAUGAGUGCUAGGUGUUGGAUCCUUUCCGGGAUUCAGUGCCGCAGCUAACGCAUUAAGCACUCCGCCUGGGGAGUACGACCGCAAGGUUGAAACUCAAAGGAAUUGACGGGGGCCCGCACAAGCGGUGGAGCAUGUGGUUUAAUUCGAAGCAACGCGAAGAACCUUACCAGGUCUUGACAUCCCGAUGCUAUUUCUAGAGAUAGAAAGUUACUUCGGUACAUCGGUGACAGGUGGUGCAUGGUUGUCGUCAGCUCGUGUCGUGAGAUGUUGGGUUAAGUCCCGCAACGAGCGCAACCCCUAUUGUUAGUUGCCAUCAUUCAGUUGGGCACUCUAGCGAGACUGCCGGUAAUAAACCGGAGGAAGGUGGGGAUGACGUCAAAUCAUCAUGCCCCUUAUGACCUGGGCUACACACGUGCUACAAUGGUUGGUACAACGAGUUGCGAGUCGGUGACGGCAAGCUAAUCUCUUAAAGCCAAUCUCAGUUCGGAUUGUAGGCUGCAACUCGCCUACAUGAAGUCGGAAUCGCUAGUAAUCGCGGAUCAGCACGCCGCGGUGAAUACGUUCCCGGGCCU
rnacentral:rRNA from 1 species